AGAGUUCGAUCCUGGCUCAGGAUGAACGCUGGCGGCGCGCCUAACACAUGCAAGUCGAACGGCACCCCUCUCCGGAGGGAAGCGAGUGGCGAACGGCUGAGUAACACGUGGAGAACCUGCCCCCUCCCCCGGGAUAGCCGCCCGAAAGGACGGGUAAUACCGGAUACCCCGGGGUGCCGCAUGGCACCCCGGCUAAAGCCCCGACGGGAGGGGAUGGCUCCGCGGCCCAUCAGGUAGACGGCGGGGUGACGGCCCACCGUGCCGACAACGGGUAGCCGGGUUGAGAGACCGACCGGCCAGAUUGGGACUGAGACACGGCCCAGACUCCUACGGGAGGCAGCAGUGGGGAAUCUUGCGCAAUGGGGGGAACCCUGACGCAGCGACGCCGCGUGCGGGACGGAGGCCUUCGGGUCGUAAACCGCUUUCAGCAGGGAAGAGUCAAGACUGUACCUGCAGAAGAAGCCCCGGCUAACUACGUGCCAGCAGCCGCGGUAAUACGUAGGGGGCGAGCGUUAUCCGGAUUCAUUGGGCGUAAAGCGCGCGUAGGCGGCCCGGCAGGCCGGGGGUCGAAGCGGGGGGCUCAACCCCCCGAAGCCCCCGGAACCUCCGCGGCUUGGGUCCGGUAGGGGAGGGUGGAACACCCGGUGUAGCGGUGGAAUGCGCAGAUAUCGGGUGGAACACCGGUGGCGAAGGCGGCCCUCUGGGCCGAGACCGACGCUGAGGCGCGAAAGCUGGGGGAGCGAACAGGAUUAGAUACCCUGGUAGUCCCAGCCGUAAACGAUGGACGCUAGGUGUGGGGGGACGAUCCCCCCGUGCCGCAGCCAACGCAUUAAGCGUCCCGCCUGGGGAGUACGGCCGCAAGGCUAAAACUCAAAGGAAUUGACGGGGGCCCGCAC
rnacentral:rRNA from 2 species